rnacentral:rRNA from 1 species
ACGCUCGACACCUACGGGAGGCAGCAGUCGGGAAUAUUGCGCAAUGGAGGAAACUCUGACGCAGUGACGCCGCGUGCAGGAAGAAGGUUUUCGGAUUGUAAACUGCUUUAGACAGGGAAGAAAGAAAUGACAGUACCUGUAGAAUAAGCUCCGGCUAACUACGUGCCAACAGCCGCGGUAAUCUGAGCGGCUGGCAAGGC